UACGGGGGGGGGCAAGCGUUGUUCGGAAUUACUGGGCGUAAAGGGCUCGUAGGUGGCCAACUAAGUCGGACGUGAAAUCCCUCGGCUUAACCGGGGAACUGCGUCCGAUACUGGUUGGCUUGAGUUUGGGAGAGGGAUGCGGAAUUCCAGGUGUAGCGGUGAAAUGCGCAGAUAUCAGGAGGAACACCGGUGGCGAAGGCGGGUCUCUGGGCAACUACUGACGCUGAGGAGCGAAAGCGUGGGGAGCGAACAGG
rnacentral:rRNA from 1 species